GUUUAUAUUUGUAAGUUUCCUUUAAUUGUGGAACUUUGUUUUGUAAUUGGUGGUAGCGGAAGUAACGUGCAGCACGGACUGAGUUUGUGGUGACACUAGAGCAGAGAAGCAUGGCGCUCUGUGAGUUCAGCUGCAUCGUCCUACUGCUUUAAACUGGACUUAAGUUUUAAAGAACACAUAAGUUAAGUUAAGUUAAAUUAAACCCAAUUGUGGACUCACCGUUGAGAGGAGUAGCGGCUCGCGCGAAGAACGGACUUUCUCCCGUUUGGCUACAGCAGGCAAUGAGGUGUGUUCAGGGUGCCUCUGUUAAUUUCAGUUUCAAUGAAAGUGCCAUAAAAGGGCAUUUAUGUGUCUAUACCUUUAUUGUUUGGAUUUACUGUGAUAAGAGUUAUUGUAAACAUGUUGCUUAUUGCAAUUGUUUUCUUUGGGUAGUUCUCACGAUGAUGAUGAUGAUGACGACGCUGAGUGAUCUUGUCGCCGAACAUUGAAUAAAUCAUCUGUAAACAAGAACUUGUCCGCGUGGUGGCUAACGGGAGCUACAGGUGGUCUGGCGUCACGUCUGCUUUGGUUGUGGUUGUGGGGUUCCCUCGCUCAAAACGAGCAUAAAAGUUGUUGAGCUCGUUGAGGAAGGAGACAUCAGAGGAUGCGGGGGAGGGUUUGGUGGUCCUGUAGUCUGUGAUGGUCUGGAGUCCUUGCCACAUGCGUCGGGGGUUGGAGUUGGAGAAGUGUUCUUCUACCUUCUUUUUGUAAUGGUGUUUGGCUUUUUUGAUGCCCUUCUUUAGAUUAGCCCUGGCUGUACUGUAGGCGUGUGCAUCUCCUGACCUAAAGGCAGUGUUGCGGGCCUUCAGGAGGAGACGAACAUCCCGGUUCAUCCAAGGCUUCUGGUUGGGGUACAUGGUGAUCCGUUUCUGGGUGGUGACACUAUUAAGCCCUUAUUUAUAAAUGUUUACACAAUAAUAGACACCGUGUGCUCUGUGACAUUGUAGUCUUCUACUUCUGCUUCCAUCGGUUUGCAUUUUAAACUCCCAGCCUUUGACGCCAUCACCGAGGCAUACGACAAUCUAGUGGGGGAGGAUGUGGUGAAAAUCCGACAGCUGUGGAUGGUCACAGAGUGUUACCAAUGGCGCGGCUGAUGUUUCUCUGAAAGACUGAUUCUUUCUAAAUAAUAUAAGCCGUUCAUAACAACCUGAGAGACUGGGAGUUUAAAAUGC
ensembl:lncRNA